AGAGUUUGAUCAUGGCUCAGGAUGAACGCUGGCGGCGUGCUUAACACAUGCAAGUCGAACGAAGAGAGAUUAGCUUGCUAAUUGAACUUAGUGGCGGACGGGUGAGUAACGUGUGGGCAACCUACCUUAUACAGAGGAAUAAUCACUGGAAACGGUGACUAAUACCGCAUAAUAUUGCGAUAAGGCAUCUUAUUGCAAAGAAAGGAGCAAUCCGGUAAAAGAUGGGCCCGCAUCUGAUUAG
rnacentral:rRNA from 1 species